rnacentral:rRNA from 1 species
UGGGGAAUUUUGGACAAUGGGCGAAAGCCUGAUCCAGCAAUGCCGCGUGUGUGAAGAAGGCCUUCGGGUUGUAAAGCACUUUUGUCCGGAAAGAAAUCCUUGGCUCUAAUACAGUCAGGGGAUGACGGUACCGGAAGAAUAAGCACCGGCUAACUACGUGCCAGCAGCCGCGGUAAUACGUAGGGUGCAAGCGUUAAUCGGAAUUACUGGGCGUAAAGCGUGCGCAGGCGGUUUGCUAAGACCGAUGUGAAAUCCCCGGGCUCAACCUGGGAACUGCAUUGGUGACUGGCAGGCUAGAGUAUGGCAGAGGGGGGUAGAAUUCCACGUGUAGCAGUGAAAUGCGUAGAGAUGUGGAGGAAUACCGAUGGCGAAGGCAGCCCCCUGGGCCAAUACUGACGCUCAUGCACGAAAGCGUGGGGAGCAAACAGGAUUAGAUACCCUGGUAGUCCACGCCCUAAACGAUGUCAACUAGUUGUUGGGGAUUCAUUUCCUUAGUAACGUAGCUAACGCGUGAAGUUGACCGCCUGGGGAGUACGGUCGCAAGAUUAAAACUCAAAGGAAUUGAC